rnacentral:rRNA from 1 species
CUGACGAGUGGCGGACGGGUGAGUAAUGUCUGGGAAACUGCCUGAUGGAGGGGGAUAACUACUGGAAACGGUAGCUAAUACCGCAUAACGUCGCAAGACCAAAGAGGGGGACCUUCGGGCCUCUUGCCAUCGGAUGUGCCCAGAUGGGAUUAGCUAGUAGGUGGGGUAACGGCUCACCUAGGCGACGAUCCCUAGCUGGUCUGAGAGGAUGACCAGCCACACUGGAACUGAGACACGGUCCAGACUCCUACGGGAGGCAGCAGUGGGGAAUAUUGCACAAUGGGCGCAAGCCUGAUGCAGCCAUGCCGCGUGUAUGAAGAAGGCCUUCGGGUUGUAAAGUACUUUCAGCGGGGAGGAAGGGAGUAAAGUUAAUACCUUUGCUCAUUGACGUUACCCGCAGAAGAAGCACCGGCUAACUCCGUGCCAGCAGCCGCGGUAAUACGGAGGGUGCAAGCGUUAAUCGGAAUUACUGGGCGUAAAGCGCACGCAGGCGGUUUGUUAAGUCAGAUGUGAAAUCCCCGGGCUCAACCUGGGAACUGCAUCUGAUACUGGCAAGCUUGAGUCUCGUAGAGGGGGGUAGAAUUCCAGGUGUAGCGGUGAAAUGCGUAGAGAUCUGGAGGAAUACCGGUGGCGAAGGCGGCCCCCUGGACGAAGACUGACGCUCAGGUGCGAAAGCGUGGGGGAGCAAACAGGAUUAGAUACCCUGGUAGUCCACGCCGUAAACGAUGUCGACUUGGAGGUUGUGCCCUUGAGGCGUGGCUUCCGGAGCUAACGCGUUAAGUCGACCGCCUGGGGAGUACGGCCGCAAGGUUAAAACUCAAAUGAAUUG